GAUGAACGCUAGCGGCGGGCUUAAUACAUGCAAGUCGAGGGGCAGCACGAUGUAGCAAUACAUUGGUGGCGACCGGCGGACGGGUGCGUAACACGUAUGCAACUUGCCCUAUACUGGGGGAUAGCCCGAAGAAAUUCGGAUUAAUACCCCAUAACAUCAGGAUAAGCAUUUAUCUUGGUUCAAAACUCCGGUGGUAUAGGAUGGGCAUGCGGUCGAUUAGCUUGUUGGUGAGGUAACGGCUCACCAAGGCGACGAUCGAUAGGGGGCCUGAGGGGGCGAUCCCCCACACUGGUACUGAGACACGGACCAGACUCCUACGGGAGGCAGCAGUGAGGAAUAUUGGUCAAUGGGCGUAAGCCUGAACCAGCCAUCCCGCGUGAAGGAAGAAGGCGCUAUGCGUCGUAAACUUCUUUUCCGGAGGAAUAAAAUUUCGUACGUGUACGGGACUGAAGGUACUCCGGGAAUAAGCAUCGGCUAACUCCGUGCCAGCCGCCGCAGUAAUAC
rnacentral:rRNA from 1 species